rnacentral:misc_RNA from 1 species
UCACCUCUCAACCCCUCCCACUUAUGUGUGUGUGUGGUGUUUGGAUAUGGAAGUUUGCAGGCCUCUCAAGGUCAGCUCUUCUUAAAUGUAUUAGUGGUGUCCAUUACUACUGCAGGUGUGAUAAAUCAUUUAUGCCUUUGCUGGUGGUAUUGCAUUGCUUGAAAAACCAAAUUUAUGACAA